GGAGGAGAAAACGUGUUGAAAGAGGAAGGGGAAGGUGGUGCAUCCAGUUUGGGGCACGAGGCAUUAGACGUGCCCAGGAAGAACGGCAAGGAUCUCGGGCAGUCAUGACAACACUAUUUCUUCCUAACCUGUCUUGCUCUUUAUGAAACUGAUGGGUAUAUUUCAAAGUUUAUAACCUUCCUAACAAACCAGGGACAUGGUUGUUAUUACAUACUCCCCUUAAGAAAGUAUCUUCCCUUGAUAGGCGGGGUGGCUCACACCUGUAAUCCCAGCACUUUGGGAGGCCAAGGCAGGAGGAUCACUUGAGGCCAGGAUUUCAAGUCUAGCCUGGCCAACAUGGUGAAACCCUGUCAACCAGGUGUGGUCCUUCCCUAAACAGCCACCUAACUAACAAACUUUGGGAACACAGUCCCUGGAGGUAUGGAAAGAAUACCACCACAUCAGAAGCCAAGAGAUCAGGGGUCAGCGCUAGUAAUUUAAUCUGUGACCCUUGAUCAAGUUUCUUAACCUGCACACCUCAGCUGGCUUCUCUGUAAGCUGUGAGAUCCACCCAACAUAUGGGGCUUUCUGAAUGACUGAUUCCCGCGAUCCAGGCCCAGGGCAUGACCAACGACUGCCUUCCCAUCGCUCCCUCUUCCUUCCAGCCCCUAAGCUCAUCUGAUUCUAUGACUUAAAGGAAUGGUAUAGAAAACUAAAUGCCAUAGGUAUGUAAUUUUCUUUAAUUUUUGUUUUUAUUUUAAGUUCUGGGAUACAUGUGCAGGACGUGCAGGUUUGUUACAUAGGUAAAAAAAAAAAAAAAAAAAAAAAAAAAAAAAAAAAAAAAAAAAAUUACAGCACUAUUCACAAUAGCAAAGA
rnacentral:lncRNA from 1 species